GAUGAACGCUAGCGACAGGCUUAACACAUGCAAGUCGAGGGGCAGCGGGGGAGUAGCAAUACUCCCGCCGGCGACCGGCGCACGGGUGAGUAACACGUAUGCAACCUGCCCCUGUCAGGGGGACAACCCGCCGAAAGGCGGGCUAAACCCGCGUACAUGCCACCGGGGCAUCCCGGAGGCAGGAAAGGCUUCGGCCGGACAGGGAUGGGCAUGCGGCGCAUUAGGCAGUAGGCGGGGUAACGGCCCACCUAACCGACGAUGCGUAGGGGUUCUGAGAGGAAGGUCCCCCACACUGGUACUGAGACACGGACCAG
rnacentral:rRNA from 1 species